rnacentral:rRNA from 1 species
GAUUAACGCUAGCGGCAGGCCUAAUACAUGCAAGUCGAGGGGCAGCAGGGUGUAGCAAUACAUCGCUGGCGACCGGCGCACGGGUGCGUAACACGUAUGCAACCUACCUUUAACUGGGGAAUAGCCCUCCGAAAGGAGGAUUAACACCGCAUAACAUCACGAGACGGCAUCGCCUUGUGAUCAAACCUCCGGGGGUUAAAGAUGGGCAUGCGUCCGAUUAGCUAGUUGGCGGGGUAACGGCCCACCAAGGCGACGAUCGGUAGGGGGUCUGAGAGGAUGAUCCCCCACACUGGUACUGAGACACGGACCAGACUCCUACGGGAGGCAGCAGUAAGGAAUAUUGGACAAUGGUCGCAAGACUGAUCCAGCCAUGCCGCGUGCAGGAUGAACGAUCUAUGAUCUGUAAACUGCUUUUGUUCGGGAAUAAACCCCUUCACGUGUGGAGGGCUGAAUGUACCGAAAGAAUAAGGGUCGGCUAACUUCGUGCCAGCAGCCGC